rnacentral:rRNA from 1 species
GAUGAACGCUGGCGGCGUGCCUAAUACAUGCAAGUCGAGCGAACAGACGAGGAGCUUGCUCCUCUGACGUUAGCGGCGGACGGGUGAGUAACACGUGGAUAACCUACCUAUAAGACUGGGAUAACUUCGGGAAACCGGAGCUAAUACCGGAUAAUAUAUUGAACCGCAUGGUUCAAUAGUGAAAGACGGUUUUGCUGUCACUUAUAGAUGGAUCCGCGCCGCAUUAGCUAGUUGGUAAGGUAACGGCUUACCAAGGCAACGAUGCGUAGCCGACCUGAGAGGGUGAUCGGCCACACGGGAACUGAGACACGGUCCAGACUACUACGGGAGGCAGCAGUGGGGAAUCUUCGGCAAUGGGCGAAAGCCUGACGGAGCAACGCCGCGUGAGUGAUGAAGGUCUUCGGAUCGUAAAACUCUGUUAUUAGGGAAGAACAAAUGUGUAAGUAACUAUGCACGUCUUGACGGUACCUAAUCAGAAAGCCACGGCUAACUACGUG